rnacentral:lncRNA from 1 species
ACGGAGCAAACGCGAGGGGCCCUGAGGAAGGGUCUGGAAAGGGGGGGGGGGUGUGUUCGACCCCCACACAAAGAAGUGGGGG